GCAGUCGACGGUACAGGCCUUCGGGAGCUGACGGGUGGCGAACGGGUGAGCAAAGCAUCGGAACGUACCCAGAGGUGGGGGAUAACGCAGCGAAAGCUGUGCUAAUACCGCAUGUGAUCUGAGGAUGAAAGCGGGGGACCUUCGGGCCUCGCGCCUUUGGAGCGGCCGAUGUCGGAUUAGCUAGUUGGUGGGGUAAAGGCCUACCAAGGCGACGAUCCGUAGCUGGUCUGAGAGGACGACCAGCCACACUGGGACUGAGACACGGCCCAGACUCCUACGGGAGGCAGCAGUGGGGAAUUUUGGACAAUGGGCGCAAGCCUGAUCCAGCAAUGCCGCGUGCGGGAAGAAGGCCUUCGGGUUGUAAACCGCUUUUGGCAGGAACGAAAAGCUCUGGGCGAAUACCCUGGGGUGAUGACGGUACCUGCAGAAUAAGCACCGGCUAACUACGUGCCAGCAGCCGCGGUAAUACGUAGGGUGCGAGCGUUAAUCGGAAUUACUGGGCGUAAAGCGUGCGCAGGCGGUUGUGUAAGACAGGCGUGAAAUCCCCGGGCUCAACCUGGGAAUGGCGCUUGUGACUGCGCGGCUGGAGUGCGGCAGNGGGGGAUGGAAUUCCGCGUGUAGCAGUGAAAUGCGUAGAUAUGCGGAGGAACACCGAUGGCNNNNNNNGUCCCCUGGGCCUGCACUGACGCUCAUGCACGAAAGCGUGGGGAGCAACCAGGAUNNNNNACCCUGGUAGUCCANNNNNNUAACGAUGU
rnacentral:rRNA from 1 species